rnacentral:rRNA from 1 species
AUGAACGCUGGCGGCGUGCUUAACACAUGCAAGUCGAGCGAAGCACUUAGGAAAGAUUCUUCGGAUGAUUUCCUAUUUGACUGAGCGGCGGACGGGUGAGUAACGCGUGGGUAACCUGCCUCAUACAGGGGGAUAACAGUUAGAAAUGACUGCUAAUACCGCAUAAGACCACAGCACUGCAUGGUGCAGGGGUAAAAACUCCGGUGGUAUGAGAUGGACCCGCGUCUGAUUAGUUAGUUGGUGGGGUAACGGCCUACCAAGGCGACGAUCAGUAGCCGACCUGAGAGGGUGACCGGCCACAUUGGGACUGAGACACGGCCCAAACUCCUACGGGAGGCAGCAGUGGGGAAUAUUGCACAAUGGGGGAAACCCUGAUGCAGCGACGCCGCGUGAGCGAAGAAGUAUUUCGGUAUGUAAAGCUCUAUCAGCAGGGAAGAAAAUGACGGUACCUGACUAAGAAGCCCCGGCUAACUACGUGCCAGCAGCCGCGGUAAUACGUAGGGGGCAAGCGUUAUCCGGAUUUACUGGGUGUAAAGGGAGCGUAGACGGAGCAGCAAGUCUGAUGUGAAAACCCGGGGCUCAACCCCGGGACUGCAUUGGAAACUGUUGAUCUGGAGUGCCGGAGAGGUAAGCGGAAUUCCUAGUGUAGCGGUGAAAUGCGUAGAUAUUAGGAGGAACACCAGUGGCGAAGGCGGCUUACUGGACGGUAACUGACGUUGAGGCUCGAAAGCGUGGGGAGCAAACAGGAUUAGAUACCCUGGUAGUCCAUGCCGUAAACGAUGAAUGCUAGGUGUUGGAGGGUUUCCGCCCUUCAGUGCCGCAGCUAACGCAUUAAGCAUUCCGCCUGGGGAGUACGACCACAAGGUUGAAACUCAAAGGAAUUGACGGGGGCCCGCACAAGCAGUGGAGUAUGUGGUUUAAUUCGAAGCAACGCGAAGAACCUUACCUGCUCUUGACAUCCCGGUGACGGCAGAGUAAUGUCUGCUUUUCUUCGGAACACCGGUGACAGGUGGUGCAUGGUUGUCGUCAGCUCGUGUCGUGAGAUGUUGGGUUAAGUCCCGCAACGAGCGCAACCCCUAUCUUCAGUAGCCAGCGGUAAGGCCGGGCACUCUGGAGAGACUGCCAGGGAUAACCUGGAGGAAGGUGGGGAUGACGUCAAAUCAUCAUGCCCCUUAUGAGCAGGGCUACACACGUGCUACAAUGGCGUAAACAAAGGGAAGCGAACCCGCGAGGGUGGGCAAAUCCCAAAAAUAACGUCUCAGUUCGGAUUGUAGUCUGCAACUCGACUACAUGAAGCUGGAAUCGCUAGUAAUCGCGAAUCAGAAUGUCGCGGUGAAUACGUUCCCGGGUCUUGUACACACCGCCCGUCACACCAUGGGAGUCAGUAACGCCCGAAGUCAGUGACCCAACCGUAAGGAGGGAGCUGCCGAAGGUGGGACCGAUAACUGGGGUG